rnacentral:rRNA from 1 species
AUUGAACGCUGGCGGCAGGCCUAACACAUGCAAGUCGAGCGGAUGAGUGGAGCUUGCUCCAUGAUUCAGCGGCGGACGGGUGAGUAAUGCCUAGGAAUCUGCCUGGUAGUGGGGGACAACGUUUCGAAAGGAACGCUAAUACCGCAUACGUCCUACGGGAGAAAGUGGGGGAUCUUCGGACCUCACGCUAUCAGAUGAGCCUAGGUCGGAUUAGCUAGUUGGUGAGGUAAAGGCUCACCAAGGCGACGAUCCGUAACUGGUCUGAGAGGAUGAUAAGUCACACUGGAACUGGGACACGGUCCAGACUCCUACGGGAGGCAGCAGUGGGGAAUAUUGGACAAUGGGCGAAAGCCUGAUCCAGCCAUGCCGCGUGUGUGAAGAAGGUCUUCGGAUUGUAAAGCACUUUAAGUUGGGAGGAAGGGCAGUAAGUUAAUACCUUGCUGUUUUGACGUUACCAACAGAAUAAGCACCGGCUAACUUCGUGCCAGCCGCCGCCGUAAAAC